rnacentral:snoRNA from 1 species
GCAAGUUUGUGAUGAUAUAAUUUGCGAUUGAGAGACAAACGCUUCGGAUCCUCGCCUGGUUCCACAUGGGCUUUGUCAAUAUGCGACAGAUUAUUUACUGAACUUUCA